AAAGGAAAGCGGCUGUUGGCCGACACAGCUGUCACCCAACUUGUGCAUGUGAGCCUCUGUCUCCUCCUUUCCCUCCUUUGUACCAGUGCUGUGGUGUGUCUUUCCCGCUUCACAGUUCACGCUCUCAAAGCACCGGGAAAGAAAAGAAACCGAAGACUGGUGUAGUUCUGAAAACCGGCGACUUCCAUGGCUUCUUCUUCAAGCUUUAUACUCCUGUUGGGUUUCUGUCUCCUCUUCAUCGGUUGCAGAUCAGCUGUUCAAGUUCAGGCCGAAGACAUGAGCUUCCAGCUAACGACACAGGCCCUGGAAUGGCCUUCUACAAUGCCAUUCUACGAUGAAUUCGGUGAGGACGACGACGUAGAUGGUGGAACGAGUCGGAGGUCUCUGUUCUGGAGGACGACUCACUACUACAUUUCCUACGGUGCUCUCUCCGCCAACAGGAUCCCUUGCCCACCUCGCUCCGGGAGGUCGUACUACACUCAUAACUGCUACAAGGCUAGAGGCCCUGUCCAUCCAUACACCAGAGGAUGUUCAAAGAUCACCCGUUGCAGGCGAUAGCUUUUUAUUCGUUUCGGUUUCCACGAUCUUCAUGUCGCCUUCCAUCAUCUGGGAAAGGAGCGAGAGAUUGAAUUCAACUAUAGGAGCUCAGAGCUCUCCUUUGAGAUUUUAAAGAGAUGGUUUUUUUUUGUUAAAUACCUAUUUUACUCUUCUACGAGCACUGUUCAUCUUCUUCCUCAUGAUACAUAUCAUGUACACCGCACGCCCGACGAAAAUAGAAAAAAAAAAUAUCAUAGGAGAAAAGUUUUUAUGAUUGUCAGAAACUUCAACAGAGGUUUUUGUAUUUUACCCUGUGCUAAAAUAAUAUUUUAUUAUGAACCGAUGAGGGUCGUGAACCACUUGAGCCGGGUA